GACAUUAGAAAUUCAGGGGUUAAGAGCGAAAUAGAAGGUUAGUUUGUUUUCAGAGCAUAUAGGCUAGAAUUUUAACAUAAAAACUCCAGAAAAUUCAGAGUGAUAAUAGGCUGCAUUUUUGCAUUAAGAGGUUAGUUUGUUUGUUUGUUCCAUCGAAGCUUCAGAGUUCUUCUCUUUUGAGUGUUUGAAACUAAAAAAUUACUGCUCUUUUGAUUUUGGUACUCUUUCUGUUAUUUCUUGGGGUUUCCGUUGGUUUUUCAAAUCUAUUCCUGGGUGUCUGUUGCUUCUUGACAUUGGUUUACUGCUGUGGCUGCUGAACCUGUUGUUGCUGCGUUUGUGCUACUGCCAUCACUGAUCUUCCUCCUCUGUCCUUGCUUUUCAGAAAUACCAGGUACAUAUACUACACUGGCCUACAAUGUAGCUGGAAUCUUUGAAGCAUGAAUAAAACAAGGGCCUUAAAGCUGGAAGUUCAUCUAGUUUUUUUUAUGUUAAGUGAUAUGUGUAUUAGUUAUUAGUUCAGUAGAAUAACGUGACCAUCUGGAAAUGUAUGUAUAAGUAUUAAUCUGCAGUAGUUUAAAUUUACGAGUUCAAUCCCAUGUAUGCUAGCUAAAAAAAACAAUGAAGUAGCAUGUCUAUUCUUCCAUUUCCAGUUCUCAUUUCAGU
rnacentral:lncRNA from 1 species